rnacentral:misc_RNA from 1 species
UGGUUCUGGCAUCGAUGAAGAACGCAGCGAAAUGCGAUACGUAAUGUGAAUUGCAGAAUUCAGUGAAUCAUCGAAUUUUUGAACGCAUAUUGCACCUUGGAGUAUUCUUCAAGGUAUACCUGUUCGAGCGUCGUUUAGACGAAAUGAAGCAAUGCUUUGUGAUGAAUUUUGGUAGGAGAGAGACCAAUUUUCGAAACAGAAUGGCGUAUAUUACUCUUUGGCCGAAGAUGCAGUGAAAUGUAUGUAUAGGACGAAGAGAAGAUGAGACGUCUUUUGCCUUUGCUGUAUGUAUAGCUGGCAAGAAAAAAAAUGAAGAUCGACCUCGAAUCAAGUAAGACUACCCGCUGA